UACGUAGGGUGCAAGCGUUGUCCGGAAUUAUUGGGCGUAAAGAGCUCGUAGGCGGUUUGUCGCGUCUGCCGUGAAAGUCCGGGGCUCAACUCCGAUCUGCGGUGGGUACGGGCAGACUAGAGGUAGGCAGGGGAGAGCGGAACUCCUGGUGUAGCGGUGGAAUGCGCAGAUAUCAGGAAGAACACCGGUGGCGAAGGCGGCUCUCUGGGGACCAUCUGACGCUGAGGCGCGAAAGCGUGGGGAGCGAACCGG
rnacentral:rRNA from 1 species